CCCGCCCCGCCCCGCCCCCAGGCUCUCGCCGCAGAGCCCAACCCGCAGCCGCAGAUUCGGACCCCAGCCGCCUGCGGUCGGCCACACGCACGCUGUCCGCGAGCCUGCCUCACCCUUAUCGCUUCUGCACGGAGAAGCUGCGAAGAUCCCGUCGUCCCUCGGGAUCUGCCUACACUAGUUCACAUUCACUCACUACCAUUGAUUGCACGUCACUCUAAGCAGGGACCCCCAAUACACCCAUUGCCCCUGAGGGCACCAUCCGAAGGCUCAUUAUUUUUACGUAGAAAUGUCCUUGAUAGUUUGGACCCGAGGAGAAUUGCUCAAACAUUAAUUAGAAGAUUGAUAUUCAUCAGUUAACAUUCAGGGAGUUCACACAUUGGACAAUGGGACAAUUAAACCUGCUAGCGCUAACCCAGAAUCUGCUGUGGAUAAACUAGCUAGAAAGCUCACCCAGGCCACCACCUGAAAAACCACACCCUGGGAAGUCCAGAAAAGAAUCGGCGCAUAAUGAACACACAAUGCACACAUAAGCUAUCUCAAGCCUUUCCGCCAGUCAGUCCUGGGUGCUUUCUCAGAAGCCAGCAGCCUCCCUAACACGUCCUUUACCGUGGGCUCAGAGCAGUGGAUUUCAAAGAAAAUCAUCCUGAAACAUGCUUUUACCUGCACAAGCUCGGACAAAUGGAUCCUCAUCCCGCUCUUUCUCCUGGCUGCAGAAUCCUCAGCUUCCUGACUUCUUUCUGACCUACUUAUAGGUGAUACAAAGAUCUUCACUGCAUUUGCAUUUCUUUCCAGAAAAUCACCUGACUGCCAGUAUAGUCAUGUUCAUGAAUGCCUGACGGCUCAGAAAAGCCUCUGUACGAACCUGUGGCAUAAAUAUUCAGAAAGGCAUUCUUAGAGAAGCUGGCAGUGCUAUUGUGGGAUUUGUGAAGCAAUAAGAUAACAAGAUCAUGAGGCCCGUCCUCUCAACCAGGCAGAUCUA